AAACUUGAGAGUUUGAUCCUGGCUCAGAACGAACGCUGGCGGCAUGCCUAACACAUGCAAGUCGAACGAAGGCUUCGGCCUUAGUGGCGCACGGGUGCGUAACGCGUGGGAAUCUGCCCUUGGGUUCGGAAUAACAGUUAGAAAUGACUGCUAAUACCGGAUGAUGACGUAAGUCCAAAGAUUUAUCGCCCAAGGAUGAGCCCGCGUAGGAUUAGGUAGUUGGUGGGGUAAAGGCCUACCAAGCCGACGAUCCUUAGCUGGUCUGAGAGGAUGAUCAGCCACACUGGGACUGAGACACGGCCCAGACUCCUACGGGAGGCAGCAGUGGGGAAUAU
rnacentral:rRNA from 1 species